rnacentral:rRNA from 1 species
GCCCAGACUCCUACGGGAGGCAGCAGUGGGGAAUAUUGCACAAUGGGGGAAACCCUGAUGCAGCGACGCCGCGUGAGCGAUGAAGUAUUUCGGUAUGUAAAGCUCUAUCAGCAGGGAAGAAGAUGACGGUACCUGACUAAGAAGCCCCGGCUAACUACGUGCCAGCAGCCGCGGUAAUACGUAGGGGGCAAGCGUUAUCCGGAUUUACUGGGUGUAAAGGGAGCGUAGACGGCGAUGCAAGCCAGAUGUGAAAGCCCGGGGCUCAACCCCGGGACUGCAUUUGGAACUGUGUGGCUGGAGUGUCGGAGAGGCAGGCGGAAUUCCUAGUGUAGCGGUGAAAUGCGUAGAUAUUAGGAGGAACACCAGUGGCGAAGGCGGCCUGCUGGACGAUGACUGACGUUGAGGCUCGAAAGCGUGGGGAGCAAACAGGAUUAGAUACCCUGGUA